rnacentral:rRNA from 1 species
AUGAAGCCGGCUGAUGAGGACAUCCCAGGUUCACCGUGUUUAUCAUCUUCUCCUGAUGAUAAAUCUCAGCCAUCAAGUGAAGCUUCUACAAAGAAGAUCUAUUUGGGUCCCAUGACAAGGAGCCGUGCCAAACAAAUAGCACAAGAGGUGAACGCGCUCCUAGCUUAUCAUAAUUCAAAUGACCAAGAGAACUUUAUACUGCCUAAAUCUGUGUGCUGA